GAUUACACGAUAUCGGCGCUCGUGCGCGUCGUUUACGAGCGUGUGCCGCAGGACGGUCGCCCGAGUUGGAAGGACAGCGGUUUUAAAAUAAGCUCACGAGAGUCCCAGCGCUCUGCCAAUGCCUAUCGGUCCAACCAGUCGGUGCGCGCUCUCCUUUUCAGCAGUCGUUGAUCGUGCACCGUGCUCGCAACAACCGUCGUCGUCGUAGUCUUCGUCGUCCGGCCACUUGUCGUCACCGUACCAGUUGUCGUCGUUGUUCUGACUCGCGCGCCAGCUCAGAGAAAACCGGACGCGUUAACCGAGCGUCCUCGUUGCUGUACGUGUCGCGCGCGGCUACUAGUGCAACGAUCUUCUCUUCUAUCUUCUAUCCAACCGAUAUUUCGGUUCUCCGCCGAGAGUAAUUACCGUACGAUAAAGAACACAGCAAAGCAAACGGUUCGUACAACAGUACAGAGAGAACGAAAUAGAAGUUGAAGUUAAAUCCGACCGAGCGUGUGUUUGUGUACCAGGUGACACGUGGUGCCGGUCGGUCGUGUCCGCCGGCGAUGCUCGUCACGGAUUCGCACGGGUUCCACGCGAAUGAUUUAUUAUAGAGUUCACGGGUACGCGGGUGUAUCGCGUAGUCGCGUUUGACAGCGCGUCGCGUUACGCGGCUACCUGUGCUCGCUGUGCAUACGAUACACGGUUGCAGAGAAGGUGAUUUCCUUGAAAGGAUACUCCCGUGUCAGCUACGAAGGAACGCGUACCGAACGCAAGAGUAAAAAUAGGAGGAAACUGCGGUGAACGAUGGCCGAUUGAAAAAAGCAUCGCCGAUCGAGAAAGCCAAGAAUCAACGACGGUGAAGCGUAUUCCACGCGUGGUCCGUUUCUUAUUCGUUUACGAUCCUGACACAAGUGCAUCUAUUUG